rnacentral:tRNA from 1 species
GGGCGUGUGCCUGAGCGGCCAAAAGGGACGGACUGUAAAUCCGUUGGCUUAUGCCUACGCAGGUUCGAAUCCUGCCGCGCCCA